AGAUUUCAGUUUUCUGGUAAGCUUCCGCAUAGGGUGGGGUGACAGAAAAUCCAUAGAAAAUUGACCCUAAUAAGGAUGAUGUCGGGGGAUAUCAAAAGAACCUUCGGGGAUAUUGUUGAGGAGGUUCAAAAAGGCAGAGGAAGAACCAAUGGUCAUGGAUACAAAAAUAUAUCAACGCCUCAACACUUUCUGCCAUGGACAAUUUAUUUGGUUCUCCAUACCAUAAUACAUAGCAUUAUUGUGGGCGUAUCAGGCCAAUGAAAUCCAAGAUGAUGGAAGCAAAAUGUAUCAAUGAGGAAUGGCAAAACUGUUUGAUAUAUAUCCAGAUGUUAUUCUUCUGUCUAUCUCUACUAACAGCAGAGAAGAUUUUGUGUGGAAAAAAGAGGAGUACGGGUUUACUAUGAAGUUCCACGCGCAGUAACCACCUAUUUUAUCAGCUGACGGUUUUAGAUGCUACAGCAACUUCUAAUGAGCACUUGAGUUCUGCUCCUUGAA